rnacentral:tRNA from 1 species
GCUGAGUGGCUCAGUGGACAGAGAGCUGGGCCUCAGACCCAGAGGUCGUAGGUUCGAAUCUGACCCCAGACU